rnacentral:rRNA from 1 species
UCCGGAAAAUCAAGGCUGAGGCGUGAUGACGAGGCACUACGGUGCUGAAGCAACAAAUGCCCUGCUUCCAGGAAAAGCCUCUAAGCAUCAGGUAACAUCAAAUCGUACCCCAAACCGACACAGGUGGUCAGGUAGAGAAUACCAAGGCGCUUGAGAGAACUCGGGUGAAGGAACUAGGCAAAAUGGUGCCGUAACUUCGGGAGAAGGCACGCUGAUAUGUAGGUGAAGUCCCUCGCGGAUGGAGCUGAAAUCAGUCGAAGAUACCAGCUGGCUGCAACUGUUUAUUAAAAACACAGCACUGUGCAAACACGAAAGUGGACGUAUACGGUGUGACGCCUGCCCGGUGCCGGAAGGUUAAUUGAUGGGGUUAGCGCAAGCGAAGCUCUUGAUCGAAGCCCC